UCGGCUGCGGGCCCCUCCCCCGGCGGGGGCGCGUGGCGCCGAGUACCGUCCGGAAAGGGGGAAGUCAGGAGGCCGCCGCCGCCGUUUGUCGCCAGGAGGAAAAUGGCGGAUCUGGAGGAGCGGUUUUCUGAUGAGGAGAAGAGAACCAUCAGCCACCACCCUUAAAAGCGCGUCUCUCGGAACUUACCUCUCCGGGCUUUCUUCUGUCCUGCAGUUCUGAAUCCUCUCCAGAUGUCUGAAGGGUCCUCCCUGUGCCGGUGAUGUUCUGGUUCCCGGGUUUUGGCACCACUUGUCGCGCGCCCCGUCCUCGCCGGCAAGAACAGCACGCAACAACAGCAGGAUUCUUCUGCAGAAAGCUUUACUCUUCAGCUCUUUGUGAAACAAAUGUGUCGGGCAGGACGCAGACGGGAAGAAAGGGUCUGCUUAUAUAGGCCUCAUGCUCUACGCUGAUUGGUGCUGUCGCAUAAGCCUUAAUUAGCAUGACA